UGGGGAAUAUUGGACAAUGGGCGGAAGCCUGAUCCAGCAAUACCGCGUGUGUGAAGAAGGCCUUAGGGUUGUAAAGCACUUUCAAUAGGGAGGAAAAAGGUAAGCUUAAUACGUUUGCCUUUGACAUUACCUAUACAAGAAGCACCGGCUAACUCCGUGCCAGCAGCCGCGGUAAUACGGAGGGUGCAAGCGUUAAUCGGAAUUACUGGGCGUAAAGCGUGCGUAGGCGGCCUGUUAAGUCAGAUGUGAAAGCCCCGGGCUCAACCUGGGAACUGCAUUUGAAACUGGCAAGCUAGAGUUGGGUAGAGGGGAGUGGAAUUUCAGGUGUAGCGGUGAAAUGCGUAGAUAUCUGAAGGAACACCAGUGGCGAAGGCGACUCCCUGGACUCAAACUGACGCUGAGGCACGAAAGCGUGGGUAGCAAACAGGAUUAGAUACCCGUGUAGUCCCUGAGCGGGCUGGCAAGGCGCAU
rnacentral:rRNA from 1 species